GGGCCGGUGGUGUAGCCCGGUUAACACGUCGCCCUGUCACGGCGAAGAUCGCGGGUUCGAAUCCCGUCCGGCCCGCCA
rnacentral:tRNA from 2 species